AUUAUUCGUUGCGGAUUUGUUCUAACAAACCCACGCCCUCUCUCCCUCCACUCCGAUGUAAACCCACGCCCCAGCUUCAUCAACCCGGAGCUCGAUCCCCUUCAUCGCACGCCUCUGCUCAUCAACUCAGCGCUCGUUCCCCUUCAUCGCACGCCCCAGCUUCAUCAACCCGGCGCUCGAUCGAGGCGAAAAACCUCGAUCAAUUUCCUCUUCAUCUCCCUCGCCCUCUCUUCGAUCUGUUGCUGCGAUCAAAUUUCGAAAAUCUGAGCGAUUUUGAAGUGAUUGAGCCGAUCGAGUUAAACUGUGAUUUUCCUAUUUGAUCGCGUGGAUUUGAUCGCACUGCUCCACAGCUUCCUUAGUUAACUUCUCUGUCACGGGUGGUCCUCUUCACAAAUCCAAGCUCAAUCCCAAACCGCGGCACAGCGCUCCUCUUCCUCUGCUGCUUCUUGUGCUUGUUUUCGGCAAAAUUAAGCUCCAAUUCAGACGACGGAUCUAGAGAGAUCGCCAUCGAUAUUGGAUGAAUAUUGUCUGACAUAUACUAUUUUGGUGGGACAGUGCAUUGUUGAGCUCUCCUCAUAUUACUCUUUUCAUCACAUUUUGUCUGCGGCUACAUAUACAUUACCGGAGGACAUUCGUUUAAACUGAAAACACUAUAGACGCUAUACGAUUAAUAAUUCAUUGUGAAUAAAAAAGUGAUGAAAUUUUUGUUUGUUCCUAUUAUUCCCUGCUUAUACAAUAGUAGAGAAUUUUUGAUUUUUUGAUUG